rnacentral:lncRNA from 1 species
AGGGUAAUCCAUCAGAUGGAUUUGAUAUUUUGAAAUACAAUGUGGACAACCUGAUCAGAGUUGACAGUUGAACUCUGGGGUGUCCUAUGAUCAUUUUGGUCAAGGGGAUGAAUUAUAUGAAAAAUAUAUCUGCAUAGGUUCUAAGGAUGUUAUUCUACAUAUUCGACCUAUCCGAUCGUCGGGUAUCAUUGCUAGAUGGUCACUUCGAUUGGUACAGAAAUUUAUUUUUAUACUACUGACUUAGGUUCGGACCUAUGAGGUCACACACAUUAGAGUUC